UACGAAGGGGGCUAGCGUUGCUCGGAAUUACUGGGCGUAAAGGGCGCGUAGGCGGAUACUUAAGUCGGGGGUGAAAGCCCGGGGCUCAACCUCGGAAUUGCCUUCGAUACUGGGUAUCUUGAGUUCGGGAGAGGUGAGUGGAAUGCCAAGUGUAGAGGUGAAAUUCGUAGAUAUUCGGCGGAACACCAGUGGCGAAGGCGACUCACUGGCCCGAUACUGACGCUGAUGCGCGAAAGCGUGGGGAUCAAACAGG
rnacentral:rRNA from 1 species